CAGAGGUGGCAAGCGUUGUUCGGAAUUACUGGGCGUAAAGGGCGCGUAGGCGGCCUACUAAGUCAGACGUGAAAUCCCCCGGCUUAACCUGGGAACUGCGUCUGAUACUGGAAGGCUUGAGUAUGGGAGAGGGAUGUAGAAUUCCAGGUGUAGCGGUGAAAUGCGUAGAUAUCUGGAGGAAUACCGGUGGCGAAGGCGGCAUCCUGGACCAUUACUGACGCUGAGGCGCGAAAGCUAGGGGAGCAAACGGGAUUAGAUACCCCGGUAGUCCUAGCCCUAAACGAUGAAUACUUGGUGUGGCGGGUAUCGAUCCCUGCCGUGCCGAAGCUAACGCAUUAAGUAUUCCGCCUGGGGAGUACGGUCGCAAGGCUG
rnacentral:rRNA from 1 species